rnacentral:rRNA from 1 species
GACGGUACCUGGAUAAGAAGCCCCGGCUAACUUCGUGCCAGCAGCCGCGGUAAUACGAAGGGGGCUAGCGUUGUUCGGAAUCACUGGGCGUAAAGCGCACGUAGGCGGAUCUUUAAGUCAGGGGUGAAAUCCCGAGGCUCAACCUCGGAACUGCCUUUGAUACUGGAGGUCUAGAGUCCGGGAGAGGUGAGUGGAACUGCGAGUGUAGAGGUGAAAUUAGUAGAUAUUCGCAAGAACACCAGUGGCGAAGGCGGCUCACUGGCCCGGUACUGACGGUGAGGUGCGAAAGCGUGGGGAGCAAACAGGAUUAG